UCUCUCUCCCCCUAACAUAAUAAUAAUAAUAAUAAUAAUAAUAAAUAAUAAAGAAGGGAGGAGAGGAGAAGGGAAAGAAAAGGAUAGUAAUAAUAAUACAAAUACAGUGCAACAACCCAAAACCCAUCAAAAUUCAUUCCGUUGCUUCAACAGGUUGAUUAGCUAGCCAGCAGUCUCUUGCUUUUCAGUUUUCACCUUCCUCAUUCUUUCCUUCUUUAUCUCCGCAACCCAGCAGCCCCUUUCAGAACUUCUUCUUCUUCUUGUUGAUGAUUAUGUAUUUAUUCUGCCAUAGCCCAGUAAAUCGAGGCCGUCUUUGACUCUGCCAAGAGAGUUUUGAGUUGAAGGUGGAAGAGCCAUAGAUAGACACUGAGAUGCAAAAAGCGCUCAAGGGGACCUCUCUUUCUUGCUGCCUCAUUCGGAAAUUUUACUACCAAGAUAACCAGAAUCAAACACAAACGCAUCACAGUUUCUUUCAAAGAAGUCUGAACGUCAUUGUGGAAGUUGAGAUCUCAGAAGCAUCAAGCAUCACAGGCUCCAAACAGAUUCAGUGAGUUGUGGGCUGCAUUGCAUUGGAUUGCUUUGCUUGUUAUAAUAGUUUGUUUAGAUUUGUAUGAAACCGGCAUUAGUUAAAAGUGGGUUGGAUAGUUUGAGUUCUAGGGAUAAAUUGGGCCUUUGAAGAAUUCUCAGUGAUAUUGGAAUUGGGUCAAUACUCAAUACUCCACUCAGUUGGGUGCUGUGUGUGAUUCGGGGGAGCACAUCAGGUAAGACUUGUGCCAGAAGGUUUUAUUGAUUUGCAAGAUCGUUGUUCAAGCUGCAUCAUGGAUGUUAAAACAAGAAAGGUUUCUGGUACCCCAGUGGAUGAAGGGCAUAAACUAGAGUAUCAUCAUCAUCAUCAGAGACACAUCAAGACAACGGAAUAUCGUCGAACACUAUCACACGGUAGAGGGAGUGGCAGAAGACUGCUGCCGGCAAGCUACUUCAGCCUGGAGUCAUUGCUUUUGCUUAUAUGUCUCACGGCGACUCUGUUGAUCCUUCCUUUGAUACUUCCACCGCUGCCUCCCCCACCCUUCAUGCUGCUGUUGCUUCCGAUUGGCAUUCUAGCAGUGCUUAUGAUCUUGGCUUUCAUGCCUUCUAAUGUGAGGGACUUGACUUAUACAUACGUUUGAGUAUAUGGUGUGUUUGUUUCCAACACAACAUAUACACGCACCUCUUUCAUCAUACAAUUUUUGUACUUCACCAAAUGUGCUUUUUUUUUUUUUUUUUUUUGGGUCAAACACUAAAUGUUCAGUACAAGAAAAACACUUAUUUUUUCU